ensembl:lncRNA
AUGUUUAUCUGGAGAGGAAGAUCCUCCCUACGUCAGUCUGCCAAUAAAGGCAGUCAUGUCCUGGACAUUAGAGAUAUGGAAGGAAUCCUUCAUGUCCUGCAUGAAAUGAUGACUGACUCACGGACAACGGAAGGCAUCAUGAAUAGCUCCUCGGGUCUUCGAGCUCAGAAGAUGCUGCUCCAGCAGUGCUGUCAGAUCCUGUUUCUCCUGCUGUCUCCCUCUGAAGCUCCUCACACAAACACACACAUCCUAAAUUGUGUCGCCGCGGGGGAAAUGUGCCACACCGCCACCGAGCCGGAACCCAAAACUAAUUAUUCCCUUAAUCCAGCCAGAAGAGAGACGGAGAAAAAAUAA